rnacentral:rRNA from 1 species
UACGUAGGUGGCAAGCGUUGUCCGGAUUUACUGGGCGUAAAGAGCGCGCAGGCGGUCGUUCAAGUCGCGUGUGAAAGCCCCCGGCUCAACUGGGGAGGGUCACGCGAUACUGAUCGACUGGAAGGCAGGAGAGGGUAGUGGAAUUCCCGGUGUAGUGGUGAAAUGCGUAGAUAUCGGGAGGAACACCCGUGGCGAAGGCGGCCAACUGGGCCGACCCUGACGCUGAGGCGCGAAGGCGUGGGGAGCGAACGGG